UGGAGCAUGUGGUUUAAUUCGAUGCAACGCGAAGAACCUUACUUACUCUUGACAUCCAGAGAAUUUAGCAGAGAUGCUUUAGUGCCUUCGGGAACUUUGAGACAGGUGUUGCAUGGCUGUCGUCAGCUCGUGUUGUGAAAUGUUGGGUUAAGUCCCGCAACGAGCGCAACCCUUAUCCUUUGUUGCCAGCACAUUAUGGUGGGAACUCAAAGGAGACUGCCGGUGAUAAACCGGAGGAAGGUGGGGAUGACGUCAAGUCAUCAUGGCCCUUACGAGUAGGGCUACACACGUGCUACAAUGGCGUAUACAAAGAGAAGCGACCUCGCGAGAGCAAGCGGAACUCAUAAAGUACGUCGUAGUCCGGAUUGGAGUCUGCAACUCGACUCCAUGAAGUCGGAAUCGCUAGUAAUCGUAGAUCAGAAUGCUACGGUGAAUACGUUCCCGGGCCUUGUACACACCGCCCGUCACACCAUGGGAGUGGGUUGCAAAAGAAGUAGGUAGCUUAACCUUCGGGAGGGCGCUUACCACUUUGUGAUUCAUGACUGGGGUGAAGUCGUAACAAGGUAACCA
rnacentral:rRNA from 1 species